UACGUAGGGGGCUAGCGUUGUCCGGAAUCAUUGGGCGUAAAGAGCGUGUAGGCGGCCCGGUAAGUCCGCUGUAAAAGUCAAAGGCUCAACCUUUGAAUGUCAGUGGAUACUGCCGGGCUAGAGUCCGGAAGAGGCGAGUGGAACUCCUGGUGUAGCGGUGGAAUGCGCAGAUAUCAGGAGGAACACCGGUAGCGAAGGCGGCACUCUGGGCCGAUUCUGACACUGAGGAGCGAAAGCGUGGGGAGCGAACAGG
rnacentral:rRNA from 1 species